UUAGGUUUGGGGACACAAGUGGACCCCAUGCUGCCUGAGAUGAACAGAGACAGCAGGAUGGCAGAGGAAUCACCAGCUCAAGAAACCCCAAGACUUGGACAGUCUUCCAGCAGAAGAGGCCAGGGUCUCUCAGUGUACUACCCCAAACAGGCCUCUCCCAGAGAGGUAGUCUGGGAAGGCCCAAAACCCACCAGACAUAGGCACAUCCAGUGGGGAAAGACUUCCCAUUCCAGUGUGGCCUGCAUCCCUCACCUCUGCUUCCAGUCUUCUGCUGGCCUCGGAGCAGCAGGGUAGCCAUUGCUGAUCUGGGUUAGGGAGAUGCCAGAAACACACCCAGGUUUGAACCACAAGUUAGUGGUACAAAGUCAUAGUCCUUGUGCCUUCAGAAAACCCAGAGGCCCCAAAUCCGAGUGGGAAGAGAGUUGGGAAAAACUGAACCAGAUUCUUCCAGUGGCCAUUAAAGAGAAAAUUCAGCAACCCUUGCCUUUGUCUUUGACCCUGAGAAGUUACAGGACACAGAUUGUGGCACUAUGAUGGGACAUGGAGGGAACGCAUGGUGUGCUUCCUGCAGAGAUGCCUCUGGAGUCCCUGUGGCCAAGGGACCUCACUGGCCCCCUCCUCAGGCACCUCGAUGGGGCUCAGUGGGGCCCGGCCAAAGGGUAGAAGUAGAAAAACAUCAACAGGCUGUCCAGAUCAACUGGCACCAUCCAGGGCCCUGCUGCACCCACACAUGGAGGUCACUAGCUCAGCCCCAGGGGUUUUUUCACACCCAAGCUCCGUCCCUAAGGAGUCCUGUGGGGUUCCACACUCAGUGUGCUACCCAAAUCAGAGAUUCACCACAGAUCUGUCUCCCCUUCAACCUGGACUCAAGUUACUGCGGUAAGAAACCUCACUGACCAUGGUUAACUGAAGAAAUCCCUCCUUCAGAAAGAACCUGAGUGGUAGAUGAGGUGGUUAGACAGGAUCUUUUUCCCCCAAGCUGUCUGGACAACGCCACAGCCAGGACCAACUCGGACAGCUGCGAGAGAGAGCCCCUCCAAUGUGGAACCUCCUACACAGCCCCCCUUUUGGGUCCCUGGAUCUGAGCCCCCAGCAGGACCACCACUCUGGGGGGAAGUCUCCCUCCUAUCCCUCAGAUCCCCACGUUGUUCCUCCUCUAGGAGAAACGUCAGCCCUGCCCCUGGAGCUUCUCUAAGAUGGCACUGAACUCGCCGUUAUCUUGAGGAGCCAAGAGCUGAAGUGACUCCGGCUUAGCAACCCAGUGUGGCCAAAGUGGAAAGGUUCUCUGUCCUUUGCAGUCACCAAAAAAGAAAAAAAAAAAGAAAAAGUAUGGUCUCACAGGCACAGCAUCUUCUUUUAAAAAAUAAAUAUUUAUAAACUUAAGGA